GCGCUCACAUCGGCAGUGUACAUACUAAAAUUGGAAUGAUACAGAGAAGACUAGCAUGGCCCCUACAUGAGGAUGACACAUAAAAUCAUGAAGCAGUCUAUAUUUUU